rnacentral:rRNA from 1 species
CAGCCGCCGCGGUAAUACGUAGGUGGCAAGCGUUGUCCGGAAUUAUUGGGCGUAAAGGGCUCGCAGGCGGUUUCUUAAGUCUGAUGUGAAAGCCCCCGGCUCAACCGGGGAGGGUCAUUGGAAACUGGGAAACUUGAGUGCAGAAGAGGAGAGUGGAAUUCCACGUGUAGCGGUGAAAUGCGUAGAGAUGUGGAGGAACACCAGUGGCGAAGGCGACUCUCUGAUCUGUAACUGACGCUGAGGAGCGAAAGCGUGGGGAGCGAACAGGAUUAGAUACCCCUGUAGUCCCUGUCUCUUAUAC